rnacentral:rRNA from 1 species
GGAGGGUGCAAGCAUUAAUCGGAUUUAUUGGGCGUAAAGGGCGCGUAGGCGGUUAUGUAAGUCAGAUGUGAAAUUCCGAAGCUCAACUUCGGAGCUGCAUUUGAAACUGCAAGACUAGAGGAGUGGCGGAGAAAAUGGAAUUCCACGUGUAGCGGUGAAAUGCGUAGAUAUGUGGAAGAACACCGGUGGCGAAAGCGGUUUUCUAGCUUAUUCCUGACGCUGAGGCGCGAGAGCAAGGGGAGCAAAC